AUCCAGCUGACGAGUCCCAAACAGGACGAAACGCGCAUUCUGGAU
rfam:Schistosoma curassoni strain Dakar, Senegal genome assembly, scaffold: SCTD_scaffold0001873